AUUGAACGCUGGCGGCAGGCCUAACACAUGCAAGUCGAGCGGAGCGGCGGACGGGUGAGUAAUGCAUAGGAAUCUGCCUGGUAGAGGGGGAUAACGUCCGGAAACGGGCCCUAAUACCGCAUACUAUCAGAUGAGACUAGGUCGGAUUACCUCGUUGGUGGGGUAAGGGCCUACCAAGGCGACGAUCCGUAACUGGCCUGAGAGGAUGAUCAGUCACACUGGAACUGAGACACGGUCCAGACUCCUACGGGAGGCAGCAGUGGGGAAUAUUGGACAAUGGGCGAAAGCCGGAUCCAGCCACGCCGCGUGUGUGAAGAAGGUCUUCGGAUUGUAAAGCACUUUAAGUUGGGAGGCGUUACCAACAGAAUAAGCACCGGCUAACUUCGUGCCAGCAGCCGCGGUAAUUC
rnacentral:rRNA from 1 species